UUCCCAAUGGACGAAGUCUGAUGGAGCACGCCGCGUGAGUGAUGAAGGUUUUCGGAUCGUAAAACUCUGUUGUAAGGGAAGAACAAGUACGUUAGGAAAUGAACGUACCUUGACGGUACCUUAUUAGAAAGCCACGGCUAACUACGUGCCAGCAGCCGCGGUAAUACGUAGGUGGCAAGCGUUGUCCGGAUUUAUUGGGCGUAAAGCGCGCGCAGGUGGUUUCUUAAGUCUGAUGUGAAAUCUCGCGGCUCAACCGCGAGCGGUCAUUGGAAACUGGGGAACUUGAGUGCAGAAAAGGAUAGUGGAAUUCCAAGUGUAGCGGUGAAAUGCGUAAAGAUUUGGAGGAACACCAGUGGCGAAGGCGACUGUCUGGUCUGUAACUGACACUGAGGCGCGAAAGCGUGGGGAGCAAACAGGAUUAGAUACCCUGGUAGUCCACGCCGUAAACGAUGAGUGCUAAGUGUUAGGGGGUUUCCGCCCCUUAGUGCUGCAGCUAACGCAUUAAGCACUCCGCCUGGGGAGUACGACCGCAAGGUUGAAACUCAAAGGGAAUUGA
rnacentral:rRNA from 1 species